GUUGCAGGUUUCCAAUGCGCCUUCUAUGAGAAAGUCAAGAGGGUGCCACUCCCUUCCAAGGAUAAUCCUAAUCCCUGACUUCAACUUCUUGCUAUAUACGCCAUCUGUAAAGGUUACCUAUCCUUAAGCAUAUUUGAAUCCUUCCUGAGGAUGGUAUAACUUUGCGGCAACCCUCCCAGAAAGACUCCUGUGUUCUCUCCAAUAACAGUACUACCAUUCAGGAUGGCAGAGGAACCUAGAGAAUAGGAGAUGAGAAACACACCUUCACCAGGAUACUCUAUUUUUACUAACUCAUCAAAUAAUAAAAUCCUUCGCCAGCCUUCGGGAUACCACUC